UACGAAGGGGGCUAGCGUUGCUCGGAAUCACUGGGCGUAAAGCGCAUGUAGGCGGCUUUUUAAGUCAGGGGUGAAAUCCUGGAGCUCAACUCCAGAACUGCCUUUGAUACUGAGAAGCUUGAGUCCGGGAGAGGUGAGUGGAACUGCGAGUGUAGAGGUGAAAUUCGUAGAUAUUCGCAAGAACACCAGUGGCGAAGGCGGCUCACUGGCCCGGUACUGACGCUGAGGAGCGAAAGCAUGGGUAGCAAACAGG
rnacentral:rRNA from 1 species